rnacentral:rRNA from 1 species
UACAGAGGUCUCAAGCGUUGUUCGGAUUCAUUGGGCGUAAAGGGUGCGUAGGUGGCGCUGUAAGUCGGGUGUGAAAUUUCGGAGCUUAACUCCGAAACUGCAUUCGAUACUGCGGUGCUUGAGGACUGGAGAGGAGACUGGAAUUCCCGGAGUAGUGGUGAAAUGCGUAGAGAUCGGGAGGAACACCGGUGGCGAAGGCGGCCAGCUGGCGCUGACCUGACGCUGAGGCGCGAAGGCAUGGGGAGCGAACGGG